CAGGACGCCCCGCGACUCUAGGCGGCGGGUUCUGGAAUCCACGCUGGACAUGGCCCGCAGCUAGACUCCCUCCCGGGCUGAGUCCACCGUGUCGUGCUGCGGGUCUACACGGCCGCCAGCGUACUCCCCGCCCUGUCUCCACACUACGCCUGAUUGGCGAGCCGCGGGGCGACGACCUCGUCCGCGCGUCUCCUGGACGAGUUGGGCAGGCGGUAGGGGCGACCUGGGAGAAGGUCCCUGCUGCAGACGUGGAAAUGCAUCUUGUUCCAGUACAUCACAUUCCAGGGAGCAAAGAAUUCUUUUACAAAGCCGGGUGUCAUCAUUUUCUUAGAAGAAGAACCAUUGCAACAGGGCUCAAAGUUGACUCUGCUGGAAAGGCAAGGGACAGGGAAAUGAUGAUAACAUAAGCAGCCGGCUGUGUCAUUCCUUCCAUUUGUAUGAGAAACUUGACCGAGCACUUGCCGUGCUUCAGGCAUCGUUCAAGGCAACAGGGUUAUGGUCUUGAAUAGGAGAGACAGAGUUCUCAUCUCUAGACAGACUGGCAGUAAGCCCGAAAAUAGAUCAAUACACAAUAUAAUUUCAGAUAGUGACUUUUUGCUACAAAGCCAAAAGUAAA
rnacentral:lncRNA from 1 species